rnacentral:lncRNA from 1 species
CAAAGUGGGCUUCAUGGUCGAGCGUGAAUCGAAGCCGCGAUCCAGUGGUUCCUUCUCUCCUCUUCUCUUUCCUUUGCUCAGGUUGUCUGGUUGAGUGCGGAUUGAUCAGAGGGUCGAGGUGGUGAUCGAGUAGAAUGGUUGGUGGCAGGAUCUGGACUGCUUCUUCAACCCUGCGAUCCAGUAGGUUGGUUGAUGGCCUGAUCUGGACUGCUUCUUCAACCCUGCGAUCGAGUAUGUGGGUAGACUGUCAGGAUGGACUGCUCCUCUUCCUCUGUGAUCGAGUAGAACUGUGAACUGGCAGGAUGGACUGCCCUGUGAUCGAGUAGAACAGUCAACUAGCAGGAUGGACUGCUCCUCUUCCUCUGCGAUCGAGUAGAACAGUCUGGAUGGACUGCUGAGCUGACU